rnacentral:lncRNA from 1 species
CUUGAUAGAAAUGAAAAGAAUAUUAUUGUAUCCUUAUUAUGAGCCCUUUUUGCUUGUUGGUUCUGCUUUUCGAGAAAAAUAAUGAAAAUAGAAAAAAGAAUAAGAAGAAAAGGGGGAAGAAAAAUAAAGGAGAUUAUAUUACGAGAAUAGAUAUGAUUUUAUUUGCAAAAUAAAAAAAAAAAUAGAAUGAACUUAUUAAAAAAUAAUAAGUAAAUUAGUGUAAAAUGACUAUUUAGAUAAAAAUGAUCUUUUUACGUUAAAAAUUUUACGGAUCGUGUUUUUACAAAAAAUAGGUCAUUUUUUGGAUUUUACAGAUUCGAUUCGAAUUUUUAAUAAACUGACUAAAGUACUCUUUAUCCUAUCUUUCUCUCUCUUUUUUCUUUUACCCUCUCCCUCUCGUUCAUUUUUCUCCUUUCGAUUCGUCUUCUUAUCUUGCCCACAUUUCUGUCGAUGAUGGCUCGAAUAUGGCACAUAUCGCCGAAGUGAGGCUGCAACAAAGCGCGUGAUCAUGGACAGCAAUAGGCGCAAAAAUACCGUAGGAUUUAAAGAUGAUGGGAAAGGAGAGAGCGUACCGCACGAUUUAAAAAUUUAAGGACAAUGAGGCGUAAUGGCGAAAAAGGCACAGAUAGAGGGUGGAAGAAAAAGAAGAAGAAAAAUAAAAAGAAAAAAUAAUACAUUUUUCAAAGAAAAAAUAAAAAAAUAAUUUUUUU